CCUACGGGGGGCAGCAGUGGGGAAUCUUAGACAAUGGGGGCAACCCUGAUCUAGCCAUGCCGCGUGAGUGAUGAAGGCCUUAGGGUCGUAAAGCUCUUUCGCCUGUGAUGAUAAUGACAGUAGCAGGUAAAGAAACCCCGGCUAACUCCGUGCCAGCAGCCGCGGUAAUACGGAGGGGGUUAGCGUUGUUCGGAAUUACUGGGCGUAAAGCGCGCGUAGGCGGAUUAGAAAGUUGGGGGUGAAAUCCCGGGGCUCAACCCCGGAACUGCCUCCAAAACUGCUAGUCUAGAGUUCGAGAGAGGUGAGUGGAAUUCCGAGUGUAGAGGUGAAAUUCGUAGAUAUUCGGAGGAACACCAGUGGCGAAGGCGGCUCACUGGCUCGAUACUGACGCUGAGGUGCGAAAGUGUGGGGAGCAAACAGGAUUAGAUACCCCCGUAGUC
rnacentral:rRNA from 1 species